rnacentral:rRNA from 1 species
AUUGAACGCUGGCGGCAGGCCUAACACAUGCAAGUCGAACGAGUGGCGGACGGGUGAGUAAUGUCUGGGAAACUGCCUGAUGGAGGGGGAUAACUACUGGAAACGGUAGCUAAUACCGCAUACCAUCAGAUGUGCCCAGAUGGGAUUGGCUAGUAGGUGGGGUAACGGCUCACCUAGGCGACGAUCCCUAGCUGGUCUGAGAGGAUGACCAGCUACACAGGAACUGAGACACGGGCCAGACUCCUAAGGGAGGCAGCAGUGGGGAAUAUUGCACAAUGGGCGAAAGCCUGAUGCAGCCAUGCCGCGUGUAUGAAGAAGGCCUUCGGGUUGUAAAGUACUUUAAGCGGGGAGGCGUUACCCGCAGAAGAAGCACCGGCUAACUCCGUGCCAGCAGCCGCGGUAAUAC